rnacentral:lncRNA from 1 species
CUUGGAGUCUAAUUGAGCAGCCAGCAAAAAAAAACAGUAGAAACUCAAAUUAGAGCCUGCUGAGAAACUGGAAUUCCUUCAACCAGCAGCAAAGCUUUCUGGAAGGAGAAAAAGGAUGGCACUGUCUGAGAAAACAACUUUGAGGUCAAGCUGGACAACAGCAGAGGCUUUCUAAAGCACUGGGAAAGGAAUCUAGUUGAACCAGCAGAAAGCUUCUCAGCUGGACAAUAUACAGGAGCAGAUCCAGGAGGCAAACCUCAACAUGUGGCCAAGGCAGGUGGAGACAGUCACACGGCCCUGGCAAUGCAAGGGACAAAGCAAUUGUCCCCUAACUCUGUGGACACUCCUCCUACAUUACUAAGGCUGUGCAGCCUCAGACUGCAGGUCUCCGCUACGUCCUUAGGUGCCCUCUUUGCUCUCCAGCUGCUGCUCCUGCCCUGCGUGGACCAGUCUCCUGAGGCCCUACACUGUGUCUGACAAUUCUAUGCAGUCUCAGAAACCUUGGGGUGUUUAAAGUGGUGGGUAGGCAAGUUGUGCCCUGCUUAUUUGCAGCUGUACUGCCAGCCCCUCUUCCACUUCCUGUGGGUCCUUCCUGUCUUCUCCCUUGGCUUCCAUCCAGGCCUUGGUGGCAUACCAAGUUGUUGCAAACGAUCUCCAAAAUUUCAAGCGUUUUGCUAGAGUUGUGGCUGCCGGCAGAGUCCACGUUAAAGCCACAGCUACUGCAGCAGUGAAGCAAGCGGAGAGGGCUGACGGUGCUGGAUCUGAGCAUUGCACAGCUCGCUGUGACACUGAGAGAGCAUCUCCUCCCUCUCCUCAAAAGGAAAGAGCUGGAAGGAAAAUGAUCAACUAGAAAAGUGUGUUCAUAGGAGGAAGAGUUUAGUUUGUUUGUGGAUUCAGCUGCCCAGCACAAGCAGUACUUGUUAGCACUGGCAGGUAAGGGCACGACACGGUGUCUCUUCUUUGCUUCCACUGGUUAUCCAGCCCCCCAGGUGGGUGAGGGCAGGGGUCUAUAUGGGAUAGGCCCAGUGGAGGAUCUCCCAUGAGGGAAGGCCUUUCAUGAGCUGAGAAAUCAUUACAACUUCCUUCAUCCCUAAUUUUAGGAUAAAUCCAUUAACUGUAUGCAGGUUUGGGUUUUUCCUGUGCCUUUCCUCCUCCCUUCUCUCCCUGCUAGUCUCUUUAAACAUUCAGGUGUGUAACGCUUUC